GUUGGAAAACGAGUGUCGAUCGAC
rnacentral:siRNA from 1 species